rnacentral:lncRNA from 1 species
CUACAGGUUGUUGUUGUGCUGACUAUUUAGGGACAGGAGCUUGGCAAAAGGGGCUAGCUGCCAUUUUUUCUAGCCUGCCUAGCAGCUGCUAUGGCAUUGUAUUUUAUAGAACUGAAGAUAACCUGUGAUUAGAAGUCUGUCCCGUUGUUUCUCUCCUCACCCCAGUCUAUCUUUGGCCUCACUUUUCGCACACCUGCAUUGUUUCAUGCCCCACUGCUGACCUUCCAGCUCCAUCUUCGAG